GGGGCUGAUUCUGGAUUCGACGGGAUUCGCGAAACCCAAGGUGCAUGCCGAGGUGCGGUGGCCUCGUAAAAAACCGCAAAAAAAUAGUUGCAAACGACCAAGACUACGCACUAGCAGCUUAAUAACCUGCUUAGAGCCCUCUCUCCCUAGCCUCCGCUCUUAGGACGGGGAUCAAGAGAGGUCAAACCUAAAAGAGCUCGUGUGGAAACCUUGCCUGGGGUGGAAGCAUUAAAACUAAUCAGGAUAGUUUGUCAGUGGCGUGUCCAUCCGCAGCUGGCCGGCGAAUGUAAUGAUUGGACUAAGCAUGUAGUGCCGACGGUGUAGUAAUUUCGGACGGGGGUUCAAAUCCCCCCAGCUCCACCA
rnacentral:tmRNA from 1 species